rnacentral:lncRNA from 1 species
GAAGACCGGAGAUACCCAGGAGGGUGCGGAAAGGAAGGGUCCCGCUCUGGCCCAGCAAUUGGAGAGCCUCGCCCCGCCGGCCCGGGGUGCCCGGGAUAGCCGAACCCAGGGCGGGGCUCCCGGUUAUCAGCAUCCUUCAGGCCGCCCUGGGACGCGGCCGUUGGUGGCCUGCCAGUUUUGCAGACGGAAUACUUAGACCCUGCUGGGUGGGGCCUUGCGCUCCAUAGCUAUGCUUUCUCAGCUCUUAAAAAGUCAGCAAUCCUGGGUUAAAUUACUCUGUACAAAAUUAAAUUUUGCCAUACGCUAAUGUAAGUAUUAUUUGCAACCAAAGGAUGGAUGGAUGCUUUUCUUUUUCUUUCUUAGCUCUUCUUAACUUAUUCGUGGAUUAUCACUUACUAGACUAGUAUACUAAUUAUUUAAUAUAAAAACACUCUGAAACGUUUAUCUCCGUACAGAUGGGUGUUGAUUUCCUCCUUUACCAGAGAAAAACAACUUAACUUAGAUGGGAAAAAUGUAUUCCCUUGUGAUGGGAAAAAUGUAUUCAACUCUGGUACACUGCCAAAUUGGCUUCUUUAAACACUGGAGAAAUCUGCUUCCCCAAAUUUUACCCCCAGGUAAGCAGGAAUUUUGAAAAGCUUUGUGUCUUUAAAAAGCUAUGUUGAAGAGUAAAAUACUUAGUAAUAUAUAGUACAAUAUUUAGUAAGUUACUGACUAGUUUGUCAUUGUAAUCAAAGAGUUUGAAUGAUUUCUACACCUCCUCAGGUGCUAGGAUUUAUCUUUAAGCACCUUAAUAUAUAUACAUAGUAUAUACCAUCAUCUUCAAAUUAAAAGUUAUCAGCUUUUAAUUUUUUCCAGUACAACUACAUAUAAUGGGUGGAUAUAUAAUAGUGGAAACUUCACAUGUUGUUCUUGAUCUUACAAAAGUAUGAUAAGAAUCUUGGGCAUAAAAGUGGAACUUUAGCAGUUCAUUGGAAAAGAAAGCCACAAAUUGAUCUUUAGCACCCUAUACUUUUCCUAUAUUAAAAACAAUUAUAAAGAUGCUGUUGGCUGUGUAAUUUGGUGUCUUUUUCUACCUGCCCGAUCCAUACUGCCAAGACUGUAAACUCCAUGUGGGUCAGGAUCCUCCCAUCCAUAAUUUAUUGAGCACUUACUAUAUACCAGGGACUAUUCUCAGCUUUUUGUAUAUUUGCUUAGUUAACCCUCCCAACAACCCUAUGAGUUAGAUACUAAUAUUAUCUUCAUUUUACAGAUUAGGAAACAGAGGUAUAGGGAGGUUAAAUAACUUGCCCAAAGUUACACAGCUAUUAAGGGAUAGUCAGGAUUCUAGCUUCAGCUGUUCAUCUCCAAAGUCCACAGUUUGUUGAAUAAAUAAAUGUUGAAAUAAUCGAGCAAAUCAUCUUCUUAACUAACCAACACAAAUAUCAACAAAAUAAAUAAGAGACCUGGAGUCAUUUCUUAACCUUUAUUCAUUAUAUAAAAAAAAGCAUGUUUUUUUUUCCUUUGUUUUUGUUACUAUGGAUUUGAAUUCCUAAAGAAUUAUUUCUAGAGAAAGAAAUGGAGAAACAAGACUGGUUUCUGAUCUUGUCAUAUCUUGUAUUUUAAAAUAAAGGGCAGGCUUACAAGUAAUGACAAUAAAUUUAUAAUGUUACAUAGGAGGCUGGGUGCGGGGGCUCACGCCUGUAAUCCCAGCACCUUGGGAGGCCGAGGCAGGCGGAUCACUUGUGGCCAGAAGUUCGAGACCAGUCUGGCCAACAUGGUAAAACCCCACCUCUGCUAAAAAUACAAAAAUUAGCUGGGCGUGGUGGCACACGCCUGUAGUCUCAGCUACUCAGGUGGCUGAGGCGAGAGAAUCACUUGAACCCAAGAGGCGGAGGUUGCAGUGAGCCAAGAUUGUGCCACUGCACUCCAGCCUGGGUGACAGAGUGAGGCUUCAUCUCAAAAAAAUUAAAAAUUAAAAAAAGUCACAUAUUAGGUGGAAGUUCUAUCGACUAUAAUUACAGCUUAAAUGAAAACACUUCUUAA